AUAUUGCAAUAAACAGUAGGACUUGAAAUUGAUCCCCCUGAGUAAUCUCUUCCAUGUGAUUAAUUUCUAUCAGAUUCCUUGACUUGUCCCAGUUUAUCAUACAUGGUCACUGUCAUGCCUCAUCCUUCCUUCACUCCCUCCCUCCCUCCCUCCCUCCCUCCCUCUCUCCCUCCUCUACCAUCUUUCCCUCUAUCUCUGUAACCAAUCUGUAACCAUACUUGACUUGCAGCCCUUGCAAGCAGCAGACCUCCACAAAAACUCCAGCUCCUCUGUCAAAAUGCCAGACUCUAACGAAGCUGUGCCAGCGCCGUGCCAGGUCAUCAAAGAGGAUGUUGACAAAUGUGUCAGAGAGAAGGGAGCAGAGAACUGUAAAGAUCUGGUAGAUGCGUUCCAGGCCUGCGUAAAAACCCUGUCCGAGGGAUCGUGAUGCACAAGGAAAUAUAUGUAAAAUCUUCAGUUGAUCAAAAUACUCCACCUUCCCAGCAUUCCCUUGCACUGGACCGAACAAUCUGACUGGAGAGGAGCUGAUGCCACUCAUACUGUGUGCACUUACUAUCAAUGUGAAAUAUUUUUUUUACAUUUUACAAUUCCAUUAUGAACUGAAUGUCAAUGCACAUUUUUAUGCAACAAAAUACAGAUAUUUUACAAUAAAUAACAAGCUUG